rnacentral:rRNA from 1 species
GAUGAACGCUGGCGGCGUGCCUAAUACAUGCAAGUCGAGCGAACAGACGAGGAGCUUGCUCCUCUGACGUUAGCGGCGGACGGGUGAGUAACACGUGGAUAACCUACCUAUAAGACUGGGAUAACUUCGGGAAACCGGAGCUAAUACCAGAUAACAUGUUGAACCGCAUGGUUCAACAGUGAAAGACGGUCUUGCUGUCACUUAUAGAUGGAUCCGCGCCGCAUUAGCUAGUUGGUAAGGUAACGGCUUACCAAGGCAACGAUGCGUAGCCGACCUGAGAGGGUGAUCGGCCACACUGGAACUGAGACACGGUCCAGACUCCUACGGGAGGCAGCAGUAGGGAAUCUUCCGCAAUGGGCGAAAGCCUGACGGAGCAACGCCGCGUGAGUGAUGAAGGUCUUCGGAUCGUAAAACUCUGUUAUUAGGGAAGAACAAAUGUGUAAGUAACUAUGCACGUCUUGACGGUACCUAAUCAGAAAGCCACGGCUAACUACGUGCCAGCCGCCGCCGUAA